AAUGUUUGUGGAGUGCAAAUUACUUUUUGGUGGAGUACAAACUUCUUAGCUUGCCUUGAAUGUUAUGGUGCAGAGGCUAGUAACAAUAAAGCUGAUUUUUUAUGCUAAGAAAAGUUAUCUAUCCAUUUGGUUGAGUUGUAUGCAGUGUUGUGUUCUCCUAACAAAAAAGGCCGGGCAUGUGAUGAUUCUGGUUUUGUUUGCAGUGUACGUGUAAUCCAGGACCAAGAUAUGACAACCUUCCAUGAUGCUCCGUGCAAGAUUUCAUUCACCCUUUUCUGCUCGAGGUAGAUAAGCAUCACUUUAUCGGAUGAUGUGUAGGCACGUAAUACUCUAAAUAAAGCCAAAUGGGCUAUCUUCGUUCAAGUUACCACCAUCCAUGUGAAGCUAGCAAGGAGUACACCGUUAGCCUGGCAAGGAGUACACCGUUAGCUUACUUUGUGUGGACAACUACACAUUAUAAGGAGUCGAGCCUGAUUGCCUAUAAAUACACAUUAAGCUGAUGACAUGACAGUUCAACAUCUCACAGUCACACAGGAGAUCUAAUAGUCCCACAGGAAGCAAGCAUCACAAGGAUAAGUUCCGUGGACAAGAAGCCGGAGGGAGGGAACACUGGUACUGGUUACCACAACCAGAAGACGGAGUGGCCAGAGUUGGUGGGGAAGUCGGUGGACGAGGCCAAGAAGGUGAUUUUGCAGGACAAGCCAGAGGCAUGGAUCGUAGUUCUGCCAGUGGGGACAAUUGUGACCAUGGAAUAUCGGAUCUACCGUGUUCACCUUUUUGUCGACAGACUCGACACCAUUGCCCAGGUCCCCAGGGCCGGCUAGCAAGCUUGAGAGCUGGCCUGCUGCUCGCGUACAUGUAUUGCAGCUUGAUUAUCUCUUCUUCGAUAUAGCAAGAUUGAGAUAUAUAGAUCAUAUACAAUAAGAGGUUGAUGCAUGGUAGGUUAAUGGAUAAUGGAAUAAGUCAGAGCGCGUAAUAUGGUUAAGGUUUGUAUGUAAGCGUGCUUCCGUUCAAUUAGUUUACACAUGUAUGAUGCCGUACCCUGUGUAAGAAUUCGUCUGAUUAACCAGUUAACUUGCCAAUUAA